GAGUGAAACCAGGAACUGGUACCAGUCAGAGAACUGAACAUUUCUCAUCGAUGAUUUCAGCAGACAAGAUGAACAAAAUGAGGACGUUUCACCUUCUCCUGGUCUGCCUGACAGCAGGUUGUAGAGCUAAAUCUAAAGGAAAGGACUGCAGCGCGGGAGAAGUGAAAUACACUUGCAACAAGAAAAAGUGUACAAUGACUGGUGUGAUCCAACAAUCUGGUGUCCCGCUGUGGAAAGUGAUCAUCAAGUAUCCUGAAGAAGAGAAGCAGAGAAAGAAUUCCAACAAAUUACAAUUUGAAGUUGAUGAUGCCUGUGUGACAGCUUUUCCUCACGUUGCUAAAAAAACGAAAACAACCACCAUUGCCUGCAACCUCGCUCAUAUCAUCAACUCCUCAUCCACUGACAAGUUUUUCUGCAAAGUCAAUCGUUCUGACUGCAGUCCCAGACGUGGUGUCAGUAUCACACCAACCAGCAGAGGCUUCAACAUCACCAUAAGUCAGGUAACUCUGAGAAACCAAGGAGAGUACUGGUGUGGGCUCAAAGAAAACACAAAAUAUUCCGGAGAGAACAAGAAUUAUUCAGCUGCUCUCAAGAAAAUCCAGCUGCUGGUUGAAGAUAUCAAAUACUUUAGAAAAUCCCGGACCACCGGUCACAACGUCUCAUACCACUGCAACUACGCAGACUCCCCAGCUGUUGUCGACUCGUUCAUCUGUAAGGGAGACGAUCCACGCGUGUGUCAGACCACCGUGAACUCCUCAACGCCUGAGAACGGAAGGUUUUCAAUGAAAGACGAGAAAGAUCAGAGAAAUAUCACAGUAACCAUGAGAGAGCUGACAGUGAAAGACAGCGGGUCGUACUGGUGUGGAGCAGAAACCUCCGAGAGAGAAGGCGGGAAAAUCUUCUUCAACAGACUCUCUCUGACAGUCGGGCCUGCACAGUCAUCCUCCUCAGCCUCUCCUUUAAUCCUGACGACUGAACCUUCUGUGGGGAGUCACAGCGGCUCUCAGGCCCACAUCAGUGUGGUCAUCUGUGUCGUCCUGGUGCUGCUGCUGCUGCUGCUUGUGCCAGUUUCAACUCUCAUUUACAAACGAUGUUCAGCGUCAAAAACCUCAGCAGCACCGAAUAGAAACAGCACCAAGGAGAUGAGUGGACAACCCAUAAUUCUGCAUACAGACCUCAUAAAGUACACAAUCCACACAAAUUCUGUUCCAAGUAAAUUUCAGACAACUUCUUUCCUUCUGUAACUGGCUGGUUAGUGGUGAUGCCUCACAGCUGUGGCAGGAACCAACGACCAGCUGGGUUGUGUUGGGGGAGGGAAUAAAUUCGGCGAGCGCACGCUUCCUCCCCCUUGGCACUUCUCUGUGGGAGCAGGUAUGUGGCACAGGCUCUGGCUCUGGCUCGGCGUUGGCAUAUAUUAAUAUUUUCUAUUUUGUUUCUUUUUAGGUUCCAGUGUGCGGGUCGGGGCAGCCGAGUUGCCUCUGUUGCCUUGUUUUGUCUUGUUUUAUUUUGUUUUUCUUUUUUGUUUAUUGCCCUUUUUUCCUUUCUUCUGUUUCUUUCGACUCUGCCCCAGCUGGGUCAGUGCGUUAGCUGGUUGGACUGUUAGGUUGAUUUAAUUUGGUCUUGGUUGUCUUCUUGGUGUGAUUCAUUGUAGGAAACACCAGGCAAGGCUCAGGAACAGACCUGUGGGGUGUGCGUUGCUCAGCCGCGUUUUAAUCAAGUUGUGUGUCGUUGCGUCUCACCAUAUUUAUCUUUAAGGUGGCGAAUAUUGUCUGGUUCUGUGCCCACUGGAGUAACAAUAAAGAUUACAUCUAUGAGGAGAUGAAAGCACGCCCCCCCAUGCCAGACUAUGUCAACAUGCCCAUUGGAGCGGCGAGUGACGUAGACGGAUGAUCUACAGCAAACCUUCCCACAAUGCACCCCGUCUCCCUCUAUCACACCACCAUCAACAUUCAGAGGUGCCCUGAUCGAGACGCUGAUGAUUCAAAGAUCCACAAGCACGAGUCCUGCCAAUAUGUGGCUGUAAAGUGUAAAGUGCCAUUUCUUCCUCAUCAUCAUCAUCAUCAUCAUCAUCAUCAUCAUCCUCUUCAUCCUCAAUCCACAAUGAACAAACCCUGACAGUAGUGACAGUUCUGUCAAUUUUCUAUUUCUAUCUUUUUACUUAACGAUAUCCAUUUGUUUUUUUAGAAUUUACAGUAUAUGUAUCAGUUCUUUUGAAAUUGUAUUUUCCAAAUUAAGGACAAUUUAAAAAAAAGACAAACAUUGACUCUAUUUUUGUGAAUUCCAUGACAAAUUGAAAUUACAACAAAUGUUUUCAGUGCUACAUUUCUAAACAAAUUGGGUUUUUUUCUCUCUGCCUUUUGCACUUUUUUACAAAUAUGUGCACUUGUAUUAGCAAUUUGCAAUUAGCAAUGUAUCUGUCUGCAUGAUGCAAUUUUAAUUACGUUUGUAUGAAAAACUUCUCUUGCUUCACAAAAAUCAUAUUCUGUUUCAGAUUUAUUGUCAGUUG